GAGGGUGUAGCUCAGUGGUAGAGUGCAUGCUUAGCAUGCAUGAGGUCCUGGGUUCAAUCCCCAGUACCUCCA
rnacentral:tRNA from 1 species